rnacentral:lncRNA from 1 species
AUGCUUUUUGGGUAUUUGUGCCUUGGGAGAAGCUCAGCUCCUCCUUGGAGUAACCUGGGACAAAAAAAAAAUCCUGGAGAAGGGGUGGUGGGAAGGGGGUUGGGCAUCCUGGGAUGGGGGGAAAUCCCUGGGAACAAAAAUCAGGCAGGAUCUGUUGGGAAUUUGCUCCUGCUCAGGCUGGGAGUGAAAAAAUCCUCCUGGGAAAAGGAAAAUCCAUCCUGGGAGGAGAGAAAUCCUCCUGGGAAAAGGAAAAUCCAUCCUGGGAGGAGGGAAAUCCGUAAUGGAAAAAAGGAAAAACGUUUUUGGGAGGAGAGAAAUCCUCCUGGGAAAAGGAAAAUCCAUCCUGGGAGGAGAGAAAUCCUCCUGGGAAAAGGAAAAUCCAUCCUGGGAGGAGGGAAAUCCGUAAUGGAAAAAAGGAAAAACGUUUUUGGGAGGAGAGAAAUCCUCCUGGGAAAAGGAAAAACUCUUUUGGGAAGAGGGAAAUCUUCUAUGGGAAAAGGAAAAUCCAUCCUGGGAGGAGGGGAAAUCAUUUAUGGGAAAAGGAAAAAAUGUUUUUGGGAGGAGAGAAAUCCUCCUGGGAAAAGGAAAAUCCAUCCUGGGAGGAGAGAAAUCCUUUAUGGGAAAAGGAAAAUCCAUUCAGGGAAGAGGAAAAUUCAUCCUGAGAGGGGGAAGAUCCUUCUGAGAGGAGGAAAAUUCUGGGAGGAGGAAAAUCUUUCUGGGAUGACAAAAAUCCGUUCAGGGAGGAGAAAAAUUCAUCCUGGGAGGAGGAAAAUACAUCCAGGGAAGAGAAAAAUCAAUUCAGGGAGGAGGAAAAUCCUUCUGGGAAAAGGAAAAUUCAUUCAGGGAGGAGGAAAAUCCUUUCAGGGAGGAGGAAAAUGCAUCCUGGGAGGGGAAAAAUCCAUCCUGGGAGGGAAAAAAUCCAUCCUGGGAGGGAAAAAAUCCGUCCUGGGAAGACAAAAAUCUGUCCUGGGAAGACAAAAAUCAAUUCAGGGAGGAGGAAAGUCCUUCUGGAAAGAAGAAAAUUCAUUCAGGGAGGAGGAAAAUUCGUCCUGAGAGAGGGAAAAUCUUUCUGGGAAGAGGAAAAUCUAUUCAGGGAGGGGGAAAAUCCUUCUGGGAGGAGGAAAAUUCAUCCAGGGAGGAGGAAAAUCCGUCCUGGGAAGACAAAAAUCUCUUCAGGGAGGAGGAAAAUUCUUCUGGGAGAAGGAAAAUCCAUCCUGUGAGGAGGAGGAGGAAAAUUCUGGGAGGAGGAAAAUCUUUCUGGGAUGACAAAAAUCCAUUCAGGGAGGAGAAAAAUUCAUCCUUGGAGGAGGAAAAUACAUCCAGGGAAGAGAAAAAUCUAUUCAGGGAGGAGGAAAAUCCUUCUGGGAGGGGGAAAAUUCAUCCAGGGAGGAGAAAAAUCCAUCCUGGGAAGACAAAAAUCUCUUCAGGGAGGAGGAAAAUUCUUCUGGGAGAAGGAAAAUCCAUCCUGUGAGGAGGAGGAGGAAAAUUCUGGGAGGAGGAAAAUCUUUCUGGGAUGACAAAAAUCCAUUCAGGGAGGAGAAAAAUUCAUCCUUGGAGGAGGAAAAUACAUCCAGGGAAGAGAAAAAUCAAUUCAGGGAGGAGGAAAAUCCUUCUGGGAAAAGGAAAAUCCAUCCUGGGAGGGGAAAAAUCCGUCCUGGGAGGGGAAAAAUCCAUCCUGGGUAGACAAAAAUCCGUCCUGGGAAGACAAAAAUCAAUUCAGGGAGGAGGAAAGUCCUUCUGGAAAGAGGAAAAUUCAUUCAGGGAGGAGGAAAAUUCGUCCUGAGAGAGGGAAAAUCUUUCUGGAAAGAGGAAAACUCAUUCAGGGAGGAGGAAAAUGCAUCCUUGGUGGGGAAAAAUCCAUCCUGGGAAGACAAAAAAUCCAUCCUGGGAAGACAAAAAUCAAUUCAGGGAGGAGGAACGUCCUUCUGGAAAGAGGAAAAUUCUUUCAGGGAGGAGGAAAAUUCAUCCUGAGAGGGGGAAAAUCCUUCUGGGAGGGGGAAAAUUCAUCCAGGGGGGAGAAAAAUCUGUCCUGGGAAGACAAAAAUUCGUUCAGGGAGGAGGAAAAUUCUUCUGGAAGAAGGAAAAUCCAUCCUGUGAGGAGGAGGAGGAAAAUUCUGGGAGGAGGAAAAUCUUUCUGGGAUGACAAAAAUCCAUUCAGGGAGGAGAAAAAUUCAUCCUUGGAGGAGGAAAAUACAUCCAGGGAAGAGAAAAAUCAAUUCAGGGAGGAGGAAAAUCCUUCUGGGAAAAGGAAAAUUCAUUCAGGGAGGAGGAAAAUCCUUUCAGGGAGGAGGAAAAUGCAUCCUGGGAGGGGAAAAAUCCAUCCUGGGAGGGAAAAAAUCCAUCCUGGGAAGACAAAAAUCCAUCCUGAGAAGACAAAAAUCAAUUCAGGGAGGAGGAAAGUCCUUCUGGAAAGAAGAAAAUUCAUUCAGGGAGGAGGAAAAUUCGUCCUGAGAGAGGGAAAAUCUUUCUGGGAAGAGGAAAAUCUAUUCAGGGAGGGGGAAAAUCCUUCUGGGAGGAGGAAAAUUCAUCCAGGGAGGAGGAAAAUCCGUCCUGGGAAGACAAAAAUCUCUUCAGGGAGGAGGAAAAUUCUUCUGGGAGAAGGAAAAUCCAUCCUGUGAGGAGGAGGAGGAAAAUUCUGGGAGGAGGAAAAUCUUUCUGGGAUGACAAAAAUCCAUUCAGGGAGGAGAAAAAUUCAUCCUUGGAGGAGGAAAAUACAUCCAGGGAAGAGAAAAAUCAAUUCAGGGAGGAGGAAAAUCCUUCUGGGAAAAGGAAAAUCCAUCCUGGGAGGGGAAAAAUCCGUCCUGGGAGGGGAAAAAUCCAUCCUGGGUAGACAAAAAUCCGUCCUGGGAAGACAAAAAUCAAUUCAGGGAGGAGGAAAGUCCUUCUGGAAAGAAGAAAAUUCAUUCAGGGAGGAGGAAAAUUCGUCCUGAGAGAGGGAAAAUCUUUCUGGGAAGAGGAAAAUCUAUUCAGGGAGGGGGAAAAUCCUUCUGGGAGGAGGAAAAUUCAUCCAGGGAGGAGGAAAAUCCGUCCUGGGAAGACAAAAAUCUCUUCAGGGAGGAGGAAAAUUCUUCUGGGAGAAGGAAAAUCCAUCCUGUGAGGAGGAGGAGGAAAAUUCUGGGAGGAGGAAAAUCUUUCUGGGAUGACAAAAAUCCAUUCAGGGAGGAGAAAAAUUCAUCCUUGGAGGAGGAAAAUACAUCCAGGGAAGAGAAAAAUCAAUUCAGGGAGGAGGAAAAUCCUUCUGGGAAAAGGAAAAUCCAUCCUGGGAGGGGAAAAAUCCGUCCUGGGAGGGGAAAAAUCCAUCCUGGGUAGACAAAAAUCCGUCCUGGGAAGACAAAAAUCAAUUCAGGGAGGAGGAAAGUCCUUCUGGAAAGAGGAAAAUUCAUUCAGGGAGGAGGAAAAUUCGUCCUGAGAGAGGGAAAAUCUUUCUGGGAAGAGGAAAAUCUAUUCAGGGAGGGGGAAAAUCCUUCUGGGAGGAGGAAAAUUCAUCCAGGGAGGAGGAAAAUCCGUCCUGGGAAGACAAAAAUCUCUUCAGGGAGGAGGAAAAUUCUUCUGGGAGAAGGAAAAUCCAUCCUGUGAGGAGGAGGAGGAAAAUUCUGGGAGGAGGAAAAUCUUUCUGGGAUGACAAAAAUCCAUUCAGGGAGGAGAAAAAUUCAUCCUUGGAGGAGGAAAAUACAUCCAGGGAAGAGAAAAAUCAAUUCAGGGAGGAGGAAAAUCCUUCUGGGAAAAGGAAAAUCCAUCCUGGGAGGGGAAAAAUCCGUCCUGGGAGGGGAAAAAUCCAUCCUGGGUAGACAAAAAUCCGUCCUGGGAAGACAAAAAUCAAUUCAGGGAGGAGGAAAGUCCUUCUGGAAAGAGGAAAAUUCAUUCAGGGAGGAGGAAAAUUCGUCCUGAGAGAGGGAAAAUCUUUCUGGGAAGAGGAAAAUCUAUUCAGGGAGGGGGAAAAUCCUUCUGGGAGGAGGAAAAUUCAUCCAGGGAGGAGGAAAAUCCGUCCUGGGAAGACAAAAAUCUCUUCAGGGAGGAGGAAAAUUCUUCUGGGAGAAGGAAAAUCCAUCCUGUGAGGAGGAGGAGGAGUCCUGGGAAGACAAAAAUCCGUUCCGGGAGGAGGAAAAUGCAUUUUGGGCGGAGUUUUCCCGCCCGGCAGCUCCUCCUGGGGCUCCUCUAGGAGCCGCUGCAGAGUUUCGGAUCUUUCCCGGCCGGGAAUUCCCAACCAAAGUCACCGACUGCGGCUCCUGCGGCAGCAAAAAUUCCCAGAUUCCCGAAUAAUCGGCGAUUUUCCUCCCCUGGAACAAGCAGGCGGGGAGGGAGCUGCUCUUUGCUGAGUUUUCUUUUAAAUUCCCUGCGGGGUUUGAAAGAAAAACCCUCAGGAAAUGCUGGAGCUGCUUUGGAUUUCCCCUUUUCUGGAAUAAACAAAUGGGGAAAAUCCCAUUUAUUGGAGCGGUUUCUGCCCCGGUGCUGGUGCUGAGCGGGGAAUAAUUCCCUGGAAAUUGAAUUUCCUGGGAUUCGGUCGGAGGGAUUCAGCUCUCCCUGAGGCAAAGGAGACCCCAAGGUGGGAUGAAAACGGGAUACUUCGCCAAAAUAUUGGAAUUAUUAAUUAUCCACCGUGGAGUGAGCGUUUCAGCUCCAAAUUGAGGAUUUCUGGGUUUCCCGGGGAUUCCUGGUGCCCCGAGCAGCCCGUUCUGUUCCAUGGAUGCUCCUAAAGCCGCUCCGGUGCUGCAGGGACUCCUCACCUCCUCCGCGAUUUUGGGGUGGUUGUGGCCAAAUUUGGGGUUUUUGGUCUGUGCCGGUGUUCACCGGGAAUGGGAUCCAGUCCUGGGGUUGGGAUCAGUCCUGGGAUCGGGAUCAGUCCUGGGAUCGGGAUCAGUCCUGGGAUUGGGAUCCCAUUCUAGGACAGGAUCCAAGUUUUUGGGAAUGGGAUCCUGUCCAGGGAAUGUGAUCCAGUCCUGGAAAGGAACCAAAUCCUGGGAAUGGGAUCCAGUCCUGGGAAUGGGAUCCUGUUCCUUGGAGAGGAUCCAAGUUUUGGGAAUGGGAUCCUAUCCAGGGAAUGGGAUCCUGUCCUGGGAAUGGGAUCCUGUCCUGGAGAUGGGAUCCUGUUCCU